rnacentral:rRNA from 1 species
ACCCUGAUGCAGCCAUGCCGCGUGUGUGAAGAAGGCCUUCGGGUUGUAAAGCACUUUCAGUUGUGAGGAAAAGUUAGUAGUUAAUACCUGCUAGCCGUGACGUUAACAACAGAAGAAGCACCGGCUAACUCCGUGCCAGCAGCCGCGGUAAUACGGAGGGUGCGAGCGUUAAUCGGAAUUACUGGGCGUAAAGCGCACGCAGGCGGUUUGUUAAGCUAGAUGUGAAAGCCCCGGGCUCAACCUGGGAUGGUCAUUUAGAACUGGCAGACUAGAGUCUUGGAGAGGGGAGUGGAAUUCCAGGUGUAGCGGUGAAAUGCGUAGAUAUCUGGAGGAACAUCAGUGGCGAAGGCGACUCCCUGGCCAAAGACUGACGCUCAUGUGCGAAAGUGUGGGUAGCGAACAGGAUUAGAUACCCUGGUAGUCCACACCGUAAACGCUGUCUACUAGCUGUGUGUGCCUUUAAGGCGUGCGUAGCGAAGCUAACGCGCUAAGUAGACCGCCUGG